CGGCGGACGGGUGAGUAAUGUCUGGGAAACUGCCCGAUGGAGGGGGAUAACUACUGGAAACGGUAGCUAAUACCGCAUAACGUCGCAAGACCAAGAGGGGACCUUCGGGCCUCUUGCCAUCGGAUGUGCCCAGAUGGGAUUAGCUAGUAGGUGGGGUAACGGCUCACCUAGGCGACGAUCCCUAGCUGGUCUGAGAGGAUGACCAGCCACACUGGAACUGAGACACGGUCCAG
rnacentral:rRNA from 1 species